UAAGCCACACUGGCUGCAUCAGUCCCAGCACACGGAUGGCUGUCUUAAGCCAGGCCAUGGGGUCCCAGAAAUCUCAGGAUAACUAACAUAGACUGUUGUUGCAAAAUCACAUUACAAUCAAGUAACCUUGAUACAUUGAUACCACCCUGUAAACAAACACUUGGCAGUAUACCUAUAACCGCGGAAGAACACAUGGCUCUGUACUUACAAAGGGGCGAAACCCGACGGAUGUUCUUUUUUCAAGUAGCAUGGCAUGGAUCAGAGUUCCAUUUCAGUGUGUGUACAUGGCAGGGCAGGGCCAGGGAUGGAGCAGUGACUACUACUAAAAGGUCCUAGAGUAUUUCUUGAUCUCGUACAGGAUGGAGGAUAUGGAGACCAGGUCCUUGUUGAGGGCAGAGCCACCAUUGACCCUCUUGACGCACUCGGUCAGCCUCGUGUAGUACAGGAGCAGCUGCGUGAGGGCCGCUUUCAGGAUGUUAGAAUAAACCCGAGGCACUUCGUCGAUCAUCCGAGGACCAAGCAAUCACACGAGCACGACACCGAGAUUUGUUAACGAGGUUCACCGAUGUGGCUAAUUCCCGGGGCCUGACUAUGGGCGCUCCUCCCCAUGACACCGUCACAAUAUCGCACACCGGCCACCCGGGCGCCGGCACACGCCGCCGGCUCCCCCUUGCGUGUCUGUGCUAUUAUGUUGGCAUAGGUUACAUCGUGUGUCUACCCUCACUAUAUAUGAGAGGCCUAGGAUACAAGUGUUCUACUAGGACACGACUCCAUAUCCUAUCUAAACACAAUACAACUACAAGUCCAACUGUAACCUACCUCGUACACUAUAUUCGACACAACUCCAACAAACUCCACCUUGACGAAUAUACUUCACCAUCCUGGAUUUGUCCAUGCGUCAAACUUCCAUGUACAUUGAACUUGAGCUUAUCCCAUGAGUACCGCUGCUACUCCAAAGACUCCAUGUGACUCCACCUGCAACUUGUAGUCCCUUCUUUUCUUGACCACAGUCAACACUCGAGCAAAAUUAAGUUCCUUAUUACUCUAGCUUGUGCUCCCAACUUCCAGAGUAUCCGUUCAAUGCCAUCACACACCGAUCACUGACCUGCAUGAAAGUGAACAACUCAUAAUAUUGGGUGUCACACAUAAGAGUUACCUGAACUCAACAUCACCACUCCUUUCUUGACUGUCUGUCUGAAACUUGAAGGAAUUUCACCGUUGCUUGUAAUCAUCCCGAGUCAAAUUCGCAGUUGUCUCACCACAUGUAUGACCACCAGAGCCCUGGCCCGUCUCCAUGUCCCGUGCAUACCGCACGCCUCGCCGCUAUUACCGCGUCGAGCCUCCGUUGUCCCGGUCGAGUCUCAAGGGUCGUGAAACCACACCACUCAACCCCCACUGCAGAGUACCACCGAUCAUCACCGACCGAUUAUGAGUUUCACGCUUCCAUCAGACCACUGGGCUCCAGUCCGAACUGCAUGUCACUCGCUUUUCCCGCUGAAUAGGCUUCGAGUCUUUGACGUCUUACGCCGUAGCCCCUCAAUCAGCAUUGAGUGAAGUCCUCCAGACUCCAGCUCCACCUUCAACAUGACUCCAUGGUAGAUGAUCAGUCCACCCUCACGCCCCGUCGACUUCAAGAUCACAUGCGUACGCCAUCUUGAAUCAACCCCACGCCAUAGUCUUGUCGAAGCCGCACAAGCACUCGGGCCUGUGCCACGUGUUUCCACGCCCCAGAAGUCGGUCACCAUAAGCAUCACGCACCUAUGGCAUCGCUGAUCCCACCACCGUCUUCUGUACCAACCGACAUCCAUGUCGAUCCGUCAAACUGUCUUGUCUGACCCAGGCUCCCAGAUCAUCUUCCGUGAAUUUCCAUCCAUCACAUGAUAAUUCCAUCUUAGCUAGCUUGGCUUCCUGCAACAACGCCUUCAAGCAUCCCUGUUGUGCCAACAAAUCUUUCACCCUUGUCUGCCAUAACCCAAAGCUUCCAGUUCCGUUGAACUUUUCCACCUCAAACCUGGUACCCGAUGGCGCCAUGAUUCUUUGUAUGGCUGACCCUGCGAAAAAUUAUCUGACCUAUCCCCGCGACGCCGAAGUACACUAGCAAAAACCCACGUGGUCUCGCCUCCGUGCACUAGUAGCAAUCCGCCAAAAAAAAUUGCUCUGAUACCACUUGUUAGAAUAAACCCGAGGCACUUCGUCGAUCAUCCGAGGACCAAGCAAUCACACGAGCACGACACCGAGAUUUGUUAACGAGGUUCACCGAUAUGGCUAAUCCCCGGGGCCUGACUAUGGGUGCUCCUCCCCAUGACACCGUCACAAUACCGCACACCGGCCACCCGGGCGCCGGCACACGCCGCCGGCUCCCCCUUGCGUGCCUGUGCUAUUAUGUUGGCAUAGGUUACAUCGUGUGUCUACCCUCGCUAUAUAUGAGAGGCCUAGGAUACAAGUAUCCUACUAGGACACGACUCCAUAUCCUAUCUAAACACAAUACAACUACGAGUCCAACUGUAACCUACCUCGUACACUAUAUUCGACACAACUCCAACACAGGAUCUCCAUCCCGAAGUUGCUAAAGGAUGUGACGACAUCCUUGCGCAUCCGCUCGAUCGCGGCCUUCCGUCGGCUCGCGAAAUCCUUCACUAACGGCUCCACGUCACCAAUGCUGGCCCUUAUCUGUGUUGGGCUAAUAAGCCGUGGCGACGGGUCGGACGCGUCCGACACGUGUAUGGGCGCGCGCUGGGUUCGUUGGACGCGUCGGGACCGCGGCGGGGUAGCGUGUGUAUAAAGCCGCGUAGUGGACGUAGUAACAGCCUAUGGAGUGAGCUCGAGUUCGUACUCGAGGGAAAACAAGCCGUCUGUGCGGCAGGCGUUCGUGCGCCGGAACUCCACCGUGUCCCCCUUCACCUCGUGUCUUCUUCUUCCUCGCUUCGGUUCGGCCUAGGGCGAAGUGAGAGAGAGAGAGAGCUAGGGUAGAGGGAGAGCUAGGGCAAGGUUUGCAACAACGGUCCGAACUCGAGGCGAAAUCCUUCACCGACGGCUCACAAAAUCACUUGUUUAAGGCUAGUCAUAAUGGAGUAACUUAGAUUAGUAACAUCCAUAUGUUUUUUUCGCGAAUACGCAAAGCUUGCGUAUCUUCCAUUGAUAGAAGGAGUUGAAAUGAGAAUACAGAGGGGGUACAUCGGAUGACACAACCAAUAAUGAUGUGAACAUGGUGCCCAAGCAGAGAGACAUGUGAUGCUCAGCCUAAACAGGAGCUACAACACAACACUAAACUACCCAGACCAACAAAAACAACCCAACACUCGGAAUCUAGUACCAGACACGGCAUAAGCCAGCAAGAUGAUGCCUUCAUGAAGGGGAAAGAUGCCGUGACGCCGCCGUUGUCCGAUCCACGGAACUGGAUCUGGGGUUUCCCCCGACGCUCGAAGAGGGGCUCGGAGAAUAAGCCAUGGCAGCGCCUCCAGGAAUGGUACAUACGGCACCCGCAGGUGUCGCCGCUGCCAGCAUCAAGCAGGGAUUUCGCCCUGGCCAAUGUCCGAACAAUCCCAAAGCUAUCGCGACUAAAUCCGAAGACAGGAACAUGUCGUAAGCUGGAGUCGCCAUCGCCCGAAUGGGAGCUUUGCCACCGGAAUCGCAAGCAUUGGACCUGGCGGGGGUGGGGCGAGGCAAGGGGUGGCGGUCAAGGUCGGAGAGGCGACGACAUGGUGAAGAGGAACCAACACACGGGAUGCAACGGCAACCAGCAUGUCGACGAGCCAGGAUCCGGAGAACGCUGACCUGGAUCGACGAAGCCGGAGCCGCCAAACCACCGACGAACCCAGGAAGCCGGAAAGAGCGCAACCUCCAGAGAACCGGGGCCAAAACCGCUACUGGAGGAACUCCAGCGAGCUGGACCUGGAAAAUGCAAGUUCGAAGCCAACCGGGACCGCAACGGCAAGGGUGAAUUCCACCAUGUGCAGGCCGCCGCAUCGAAGAUGAGAAGAACCACACCACCCCGAGCAGAAUGGCUGCAGCCCCCGGUGGAUCCAGAACGGGGCCACCUGCAGCACCAACGACGGAGAAUCCAACAGCGGUAGGCGCACCGCGCAUGGCCAUGACUGGUCCGUGUGCAGGCGGCAAAGAAGAGGGCGCCCACGCAUGGCCAGCGCGCCAUGCAUGCACCCGCAGAAUGUCGCGCCCCCCAGGCUAGAUCCGUCGAGCACGCACUAGUAGACAGGAAGAGGAUGCCGUCGAGGACGGUAUAGCCAGUCGGAGAAGGGUGGCGCCGCCGCGGUACCGCGCUGCGCCGACUGGAGGCCAGGCCUCGCCUGACGACGCUGCAGGAGGUAGGAACGCCCCGCCGCCACCCUCCUUGGGCACGCACGGACUUCGUCGGUGUCCCCUCCGGCGGCGGUGAAGCUCAGGGGUGUGGAUCUAGGGUGCAACCGGCGGCGCGGGGGAAGGAGGGUCUUCAUUUAUUACUUUGUAGACUCAUUUUGUAUUGGAAAGCGGUACGUAAUGGUAACAUAUUAUGUUACUUUAUUUGCCUUCCUCGUUAUUAACUAUUCCCUCCGUUCCAUAUUACUCGUCGCUGAUUUAGUACAAGUAAUAUGGAACGGAUGGAGUACUUGCUACAUCACCAUUUUUACUUAUGUGGAAUCUAUAUUACUACCUAUGGUACUCUCAUUAUGACCAGCCUAAGAUUUGCACAUUGUUCGCUCUGAGGAGUGUGCCCCACGGGAAUCGUCAUGCUGUCAUGCAUUGAGCACGAAAGCCGGACGCACCGCAGGUUGUUCGCUGAAAGAACCAUUCCCCGAGAACGAUCUGCUCGUUAUCAUUUUCAUAAAUAAUAAAAUCAUUCAUCUGCGCGAACAAAUUAAGGGUCCAAGACACGUCGGCACCCGGCCCUCGGAGAUGUCAAAACGCGUCGAUCGUGCGGGGAUAGAUUCCAUCGACAGCGUUCGUCAUCUACCUUGUUUCCUCUUCCCGUCCCAUGCAUGCAAAGGAUUUAUUUAUCCAGAGGCAACUCCGGAGGAAGCUCCAAAGUCCAGUGAGGGAGAAUAAACCAACUAACUAAGCCUGUCACAAAUCUGCGAAUCUACCUCGCAGCUUCCUGUUCAUCCCUGAGAAGCAACAAGCUGAGUCAUAUAAGAGGACACGCGCAGUGCAUCCCAGCACAGCACAAAAGAAAAGUGUAAAUCCUUGCAGGCCCCAGGUAAUGGAGAAGGCACGUCGAACCAUGUUCUUCUUGUUACUGCUGAUGGUUGCCGAUUUCAGCGGCAGCCCAAAACACCACCGGCAAAGCAGAUGAAUUCCACGUCGGGGUGAUCCUCGACCUGGGAUCGCUGGUGGGGAAAGUGGCGCGGACCAGCGUUCUGCUGGCCGCCCAGGAUUUCUACACGGUCCACCGGAAUUACACCACAAAGCUCGUUCUCCACGUCAUGGACUCCGCGGGCAGUGAUGUUCGGGCUGCAUCGGCAGGUAUGUGUGUCUGCAGUAUGUCAACGCUGUGAGGAUUCAGGGAAGGACUUUGUUUGUUAGUACUAAUUCCUAAUAUGACUAUACAGUUUCAAAUAAAGGUACAGUAUUUUAUUUAUUUAUUAUAUUGGGCUAAAUGUAGGUAUUUAUUACUCCCUCCUACGCUGAUGUAGUUAAACUGCAAAAACGUCUUAUUUAGUGUCCAGAGGUAGUAGUACUUUUGAUGUUUGAUGUUGAGUAGUAAUUCUUUCUACAAACUUGGUCAAACUUAAGGAAGUUUGAUUUAGAACAAAGUAUUUUGGAACAGAGAAGGAGCAUUUUGGAAGUUUUUCCUUCAAGUUUUUCAUAGAAAUGAGAUCUCACUUUUAUCAAAAAAAUAUUUGAACGCAGAAAAUUGAUCGAGUGUGACAAGCAAUAGUUCCUGGUUUGUUUUCUUUGCUUUCUCGAUGUCAUGACCUACAAAGUAGAAUGGUAUCAUCCGCCUGAUGUAAAAUAGAUAAUCCGUCAUCCACUAGAUGAAACACCAUCUCAUUGAUAAGAUCCUCCAACUUGGCUCUCUCGAUCAUUACUGCCAGCAUUUCGCUACCUUUGUUAAAGACAAUACAGACAAAGGAUCCCCAUAGAGGCCUUCCUUUGUUUAGAAUUAGGCCAACUCCAACGCACGACCCUAAACGGACGUCACGUCCAUUUUAUCCGGAUUAUGUCCAUUUGGGUCAGGCAAAGAGGUGGUGUCCGGUCCUUUCUACAUUUGCACUGGCCGUGCGUCCAAUGAGCGGAAGCAUUUCAUCUGGCCUCCUGGAAUUUUUGUAGAGGGAAUGGAAACUGAAAUUUUGACACCGCGCCCGUAGUUCAUGCCAGCGGCCAUACUUCAUGCCGGUCAGCACAUGCCGGCCAAGAAAUGAUCAACCCCCAAGUUUUCACGCCGGCAACAAAGCCAGCGGCCGGUAGACUUGACAGCCUACAAAAAAACGACCAUAGUUAAUGUCUUGCGGCCUCCCUAGCUCAUGCCGGCACACAAGUCGACUCAACAAUCUUGGUUGAGCAUCUCCUUUUACUUCUUCUCGAACUAACUUCUUCUCUUCGGGGACAUCUUGCUCAAGUCCACGAUCAUGAAGUCUAGCGCCACCUCUUUUGCUUUGGUGUCGACGUUGGUGGCCUCAAUCGUGAGCUUCUUCAUUUGGACGGCCUCCUUCAUGUCGAGCUUCUUCGUUUGGAGCUUCAUGUAGGCCUUCAUUUGGUCCUCCUUUUCUUGGCGCUUUCUCUCGCCCCUUACUUCCUUUUGGGUCAUCAUGCCUUGCAAAGUUUCUUGCAAGGCGAAAGAUGUCGUAUCACGCUUCUCGUCCACCUUCGAGUUGGUCUUGCCCCUCGGCCUUUUCACUCCAUCUUCAUCCCCAGCCAUGGCCACCAGCCCUCCAUUCUUCUUGACAGUGGCAUAUUGAUCUUUGAACUUGGGGCAAUCCUUGAUGAGUGUCCAAUAAUGGGUGAGUGUGAAUGGCUUGUUGGAAUGUCGGGCCUUGAAGGCUUCCAAAGUUUGGAAUGCCUACACAAUCAAAGCGAAGGCCACAAUGUAAUAGCGAACGACACAUAAUGCAACAAACAUGAACAUGGCAUAGGAACAAAGAGAAGAAGUUCAUACCAAGUCGCCCACGCAUUGGCCACUCACAGGACGGACGUCAACGCUCUCAAGCACGGCACAAAACUUGAUGCAUUCUUGUUGAAUAAACCCCCAUCUCUUUUGGAUUGAGUUGAUGCCACGGGUGCUCGCAAACUUGUAGGGGGGGGGGACUUCCUACGUUCAUGAAAGGUUUUAUGAACUCUCCCCCAAAAGACGACACCUUUUUUCUCGUCGCCAGUCUUGGGAUCUUUCCCUAUCUCCUUCCAACUCUCGCAAAUCAACAUAUCCUCAUCUUUGGUGUAUGAUCCCGUGCGAAUGCUUUGCUUCCUCUUUUGUGCUUUGGCCCUUGUGUGAGCUCAUCGAUAAACAGUGGCUCCUCAUCAAUGUCUACGACAUCUUCUUCCUCUUCCUCCUCGCAAUAGAUGUCUUCAUACUAUGAGUUGCCAUGGUCGUCCGCCUCUUAUUCUUAAUGGCCAUCAAAGUGUCGGUACUAUCUUGGAUGCGGCCAUCUUGGCUUUGGGUCUCGUCAGGAUCGAAGCCUUGGCCUUGGCCCUCAGGGUGGAAGGCUUGGGAACGGCCCUCGUUGAUGACGUUCUCCAUGAAAGCGCUGAAGUUGGAGUCAUCGGCCGCUGGCGUCGGGUUCGGUGUUUCAUCAAAUAGGUUGCGGACGUCGGGAAGGUCGGCCGUAGGAAUCGACCGCGACUGCUUCCUUUGCAUCCCGACAGCUGGCUGGCCAACGCCACUAUACCCAGGCAUGACGUUUAGGUCAAUGACGGCCACGGGGACGGGGGCGGCCGGAACGAUCACACUGUCGUCCAGCGAUGUGGAGAGCCAGUUCGGAGCAUGCUCCCGCACCGAAUGGACACCGGUCGUCUGCGGUGUUAUGGAGGAGCUCGGCGACUGACCUAGUGGAGGGAAACGGUCGAUGAACUUGUGCUCGUCGCGGCCAUGGUGGUGGCGGAAAGAAUAGCCGACCCGGAUCAGCACAACCCUAGCAUCAGGAGGGUGUGCAUCGUCGCUAGCUGCGUGGCCUUGGCGAUGAGGACCUCAUUGUCCUCAACGGCGGCCUUGUAUUGCGUGGAGGCCUCGAGGGCGUACUCAACAGUGGCUUUCCUCUCCACCUGAACGGACCACCGGGAUCUCCUCUUCGUCGAUUCUCGUCCGACUCGCUCGACCUCCGCUGGAAUGAGCAGCGACCUCGGCUUCUUCGCCGCGAAUGGGCGGAGGUGGUGGCCGGGCCGACGGCAGCGGGUUGCUUCGGGGCGCCGGCCAUGGAGGAGGGAGGACGAGAUGGUUUUCGGGGAAGAGGGGGGAAUGGCAGCAUUGUGUCCCUGGCGGGCGGGCUAGGGGAGAACAAGGGCGCGGAGCCCGUCCUUCCGCGCGAUGUCUGUUUCCACGCAAACGUGGCCCAAAUUUGGGUCAGAAGUGGGUCGACGGCGGACAAAAAAUGGACGCUCGUCUGUUUGCAGGUGGGUGUUGGGCCUUGAUUUGUGUCUGUUUUGACCCAAACGGGCGCGGCCGGACAAAAUGGGGUCGCACAUUGGAGUUGGCCUUAUAGCCCUACAUUAUUGUUAACUUCUAUACCAACACUUUCAUCGGAUGUGAACUUUUCUAGCCACUUGCAUCAAAGAGGUGAAAAUCCUUUCAUCCUGAUGGUUUGAAGAAGAAAAUGCCACUUAAGUUUAUGACACACCUCAAAAUAAAUUUUNNNNNNNNNNNNNNNNNNNNNNNNNNNNNNNNNNNNNNNNNNNNNNNNNNNNNNNNNNNNNNNNNNNNNNNNNNNNNNNNNNNNNNNNNNNNNNNNNNNNNNNNNNNNNNNNNNNNNNNNNNNNNNNNNNNNNNNNNNNNNNNNNNNNNNNNNNNNNNNNNNNNNNNNNNNNNNNNNNNNNNNNNNNNNNNNNNNNNNNNNNNNNNNNNNNNNNNNNNNNNNNCACACACACAAACACACAAAACAAUGUUACUUAUGCAACUGGUGAACAGUCUCAUGAAGAAUUAGAACCCCUUUGAGAAUGUUUCUACCCUUCAUGUACACUGUUUGGGCUAGAUGAACCACGUAAUCACCUAAUUUAAUUCUAUUUGUUGUCACUUAUUGAACAUUUGGAACUCUUCAUUAGUGAAUACUUUUGAAACUCACAUUGUUUAAUUGUCUAAAAGUUGAGAUUAUACAAUAGUACCCCCUCUAUUCCAUAAUUCAUGUCAUGGAAAAAAAUUCAUGAAGAAUUAUGGAACAGAGGGAGUACUUCACUGCUAUGAAAUGCAUGGAACAAAUUCAUCAUGUCAUCUUUGGUUGCCUCCCAAAAUACAAGGUAAAAGUCAGCCGGGAAUCCAUCCCGCCCGGGGGUUUAUUAUGUUCCCUUCAAGAGCUAGCCUCCCAAAUCCCCUUUUGCAUGAAAGGAUCAAUGAGGAUUUCAUUUUCCGUCGUGGGAAGCUAAGGGAUAUCUUCCUCAAAGCUCUAGACAUCAGAAUAUCAUUGUGCUCAAGAGACAAGACCAAAUAAACCCUUGCAAUAGUUUUUUUUUGCGGGAACCGUUAUAAUAGUUGGUGAUCUGCUCUUUCAACUGAGCCUCACUCACUACUAAGCCAUCAUCUAUACCCACUAAUAAAGGGAGGUGAUAUUCUUAGUCCGUCAUGCUAUUUUGCAAAAACUCCGUGAUGUUUCUGGUAAUCAAUGUGUUGGCCCCUUUUAAGUCAGAUUUUCGUUUUUGCAGAAAACCUCCUAAUGUUUCUGGUAACAACCCGCGGAUCAGUGUUAAGUUAGAUUUUUGGCUUUUGUAGGAAACCCCUAAUAUUUAGAUUAAUCAACCUGCAUCACAUAUAAAAUACUUUUUAAAAAAUAUUCAUAUAUUUUAUACCCUUACUCCAAUUUAACAUGUUAUAUAUAGAAUUUGAUUAGAGAAUUUGAAUAUGAUGUUAUUUUACUAGUUAACCAUUUUAGAAAUGCUAUUUAGGGUGCAACCUUAAUCUAUAGCACAUGAUAUGUAUUUAUUUCAUACCGGUGUCGAUCGGGAUUGGAAAUGAACACCUAAGCCAAACCAAGAUUGAAGACAAAGAAACCAUCUAUAAAAAGCAUGCACACCUCGUCAAAAUCUCACAGGAAAAAAACAAAAAAAUUCAUCUUAUGCCGAGAGAGAGACGCCUUAGGAUUGACAACAUUCAAAUGUGUUAUGAUUGUGUGAGCACUAAGGCCACUGUCGGUGAGGCUGGAAAGGAGGAUAAGUGGCAAUACAGAUGGGAUGCCAUGUGUUGAAAUAAAGGACGUGGACCUAUUGAGGUCUUGAUUUAUGGUUACUGCAUUAAUGUGCGGGCUCUUUUGCUAGUCCCUCUCUAAUUGGAAAAUAGGUUGCUUCCUAUGCUCCCCAUUAGUUGAGAAUGCCUGAGUGACCUUAGACCAAGCAAGAUGUAUGAGAAUCACAAUAACGAAGAAGAAGGUUUAGUUUUAGUUGAAAUCCUGAGGGUUACAUGCAUCAAAUGAUGCAGAGGCCGUUCUAACCCUAUUUUUGAGGGGGAAAAUCAGUUGAAAAUCCAUUCACAAGUGGCAUAUUAGUUCCUUGUAACAUGCCCAAUCAAGCAAUCCCCUAUUAUAGUGGUCUCAAACUUCUAAUUAUAACGUACUUUCAAGCUCUCCUGUCUCAGCCAAUAAAAGUCACAAAGUCAUCAUUCUUAAUGCAUCAUUGCAACAAGUAUUUCAAACCUCCACAAACCAAUGAUAAAAUUCCACAGGAAAUAGAAAUAUACUACUUCCAUGACCAAGCAUACGACAUAUUUGGCAUGUCCAAGAAAAUUCGAUCAUGGACGCUUUCAAUGUUGGGAAUAUCGCUUAUCGGAAGCUUAUUGGUCGACCCAAGAUAAGGAUAAAUCGGUCGAUUUUCGGCAUAUCACUCAAUUUAUCUUAUCGGUCAGACACGUGUAAGCGAUAAAUCGAUCAAUUUAUCAGCCGAUUUAUCUUAUCAGUCAGACACGUGUAAGCGAUAAAUCGGUCAAUUUAUCAGCCGAUUUAUCUUAUCGGUUAGACACAGGUAAGCGUUAAAUCGGCCAAUUUAUUGGAAUAUCGGCUGAUAUCUUGAACAGUGGUGCCGCACUUUUAUUGGCAUGUCCAAAUACAUGCACCGACCCAAUAAUUAAUCCAAUUAUAUGUGAUUAUGUUAUAACUUAAUGCAAUGGGAAUUUAGAUUCGUAUUCAAAUGCACUUUCUUGUGAUUGUAAUUUUAACUAUUUUCAAUAGAAUAUCAUAUAAGAAAUUCAAAUUAUUUCUAUCAAUCUAUCAAGACACAAGCUUUGCAUUUUAAAUGCACUCCAUUUUGAAAUAAAGGAGUGUAUUUUUACAAGAAAAUAAAGGAGUAUAUUGUACUCAUGACAUUCCAUAUAAGUUUUCUAAGGCUAGGAUGCCUCGGAAAUUCAGCUAUGAUAUUUCUAAGUGAUUGGGUUAAUAUUUUUGGCCUUGUAUCUCGUAUCAUGAAUGCAAUCUUCUUGUAAAUAUGUGUUCAUAGUGUUACAUGGUUACCCUUAAAAUCUAUAUAUUUAACAAACAGCAGGGCUCUCCCUGCUAUGUUCCAUAAUAAGAGGUCAAUUUUGUAUUUCCUUGCACAUGUGUGUUGUGUCUUCUGUCAAAUAUUAGCUUUUUGUAGCAUUACUCGGUUGUUUUUUAUGUCAAGGGAGCAUAGAGGCAAGCCUGAAAAUUAGAGUAUUGACUAAUAAAACCGUAAGGUCCAAAACUAAGUUUUUCUUAACCUUUUUCCUAUCUUGAAUGAACCGGUUAAGGUGUUGAUACUGCAGAUUAUUCCACAUAUAUUAUUUGAUAGUAACUUUCUUGUUCCCUUCUGAAAGCUAUUGAAUUACUGGAAAGCUACAAAGUGCAAGCCAUCAUUGGUCCCUAGAAAUCAUCAGAAGCUGUGUUCAUAUCUAAUAUUGGAAAUGUAACUCAAGUCCCCAUAAUAUCAUUCACAGCAACAAGCCCAUCCCACACUUCUGAUAGUAUGCCGUAUCCAGUGCUAUAGAUAAGCAACCAUGGUUCACUAAAAACUCCACAUGUUUGGAAUCCAUGGUUAUUUCCACUAAUGGUCCUGAACUCUUAUCAACGAUUGUACAAAAUAAGUUCAGAGGUUUAAGUGGUGAAUUUGACCUUACACACAGACGCCAGCUUAAAGUUUCUGUGUUCCAAAUAAUAAAUGUGGUUGAGAGAGGUUGGAGAGAAAUCGGGUUUUGGACUGUGAAUGGACUUUUACGGAAGUUAAAUCAAGAUUACCCUAAAAAAAGGACAAGCAUCAAUGCUUGAUCUAAAUCCUAUAAUUUGGCAAGGAGAGUCGACCGAAAUACCAAUGGGCUGGGAAUUUCCUAGAGUUGGUAAGAAGCUUAGAGUCGGUGUGUGCUCAAGCGAAUUUACAGAGUUUAUAAAGACAUACAAAGAUCCUAUCACAAAUGCAACAACAGCGAGUGGCCUUUCAAUUGACAUAUUCGAGGAGGCAGUAAAGAGAGCGCAUCGUCCGUUUUCUUAUGAAUACCUAGAAUUUGACAUUGCUGAUGCACCAAUUUCCGGAAGCUACAAUGAUUUUGUUUAUUUGGUCUAUCUUCAGGUAAGAAGUAAUUAAUAAAAGGCAAUUUCUCAAAUUGUAAAGAAAAAACUCGUAGCUCAAACAUUUUUGCAAUGUCUUAAUUUUCUUCCACAUUUCCAUCCAGUAUUUUGUUCUGCAUUCAGGCCACAAUAUUAUACACGAAAAUGAUGCCAACGAGAAAGGCUCAUUCUAAAUUUUUUCUUUCUCAAAGAAAAGCAACUCAAAAGUUUAUUGCUUGCUAAAAUAUUACUCUUUGUUGAACAACUAAGAUUAUACUUGUUUAAUCAAUCUUAAAAUGUAGAUAUCCCUUUUUCCUUAAAUAUAUAAAGCUGGCUAAUUUCGUUGCCGGAAUAUGACAUAGCGGUUGCAGAUAUUACUAUAAGAUCCAAUAGAUCAUUGUAUGUCGACUUCACUGCACCAUACACAGAAUCUGGAGUAGGGAUGAUUGUUCCGGUCAAGGAAUACGUGAAUACAGACAUGUGGCUUUUCUUGAAACCAUUGAGCACUGAGAUGUGGUUUGGCAGCAUCGUAUUCUUUAUCUACACAGGAAUUAGUGUCUGGCUUCUAGAGCAUCUAAAUGGCAAUGAACAUGUUCAUGUUCCCUUUUCACUCAAACAGUUGGCGAUUACAAUAUUCUCCAUUUUUGAAGAGAGUUGAGUAAACAUUACUUUUUCUUGGAUCUUUGUAGAAUUUAGAACAGCAUUUCAAUUGCAUGGAUAAAGCAUUUGUUGCACUAUAUCAAAAUAACAAGCAUCGAAAAAUUCCUACAACAAAGAUUACUACAUUGAUCUAACUAAACAUCUCUAUGAGACUAUUGCAGUUUAAUUUUGUCAAACAACCUGUCAACCUGUCACGUUGUAUCUCCCGCGCCAGGAGUCCAUCAGGAGAUAUGCGCCGCACCAGGAGUCCACCAGGAGAUAGGCUAGGUAGUUAGUUGAUAUCUAUCUAUUGUAACCUACUCUAUCCCUUCUUCUCCAAGUCUCCUGUACGAUCUCAUGUAUGCGCUACAGGGUUGUUGCGCCCCUGCCUAUAACACGUACCACGCCCCCUCGCACCGAGGACAAGGCGUUUCCGCAUAUCGCACAUGGUAAUCAGAGCGAUCCUCUCCAAAGCAAUCUAGCGAUCCAAUCUCCAGCCAUGUCUUCCUCCGGCGCUUCCCAGACCAACCUCAGCGGCCAAGUCACGGAGAAGCUGACCCGCACCAACUAUGUCCUCUGGCGCGCGCAGGUGACGCCGCAGCUCAGGGGCGCGGGAGUCUUAGGAUACGCCGACGGCACAACACCGGAGCCGGCCAAGUUCCUCACCACCAAAGAUAAGGAUGGGAAGGAAACCUCUGCGCCCAACCCUCUCCACCCUUUCUGGGUCCUGGAGGACCAGCAGGUGCUGGGCUAUCUCCUCAGCACCCUCACCAAGGAGGUCCUGCUGCAGGUGACCACGAUCACCACGGGGAGCACGCUCUAGACGACGCUCGCAGGUAUGUUCUCCUCGCAGUCUUUCAGCCGUGUCAAUAACAUAUGCACGGCCCUGCUCAGCACGCAGAAGGGCUCCCAAUCGGUCACCACCGUCUUCGCCCAUAUGCGUGGCCUCGCCGAUGAGCUGGUGGCCGCCGGCAAGCCCCUGCAGGACGACGAACUCAUCAGCUACAUCCUCCACGGCCUCGACAUGGAGUACCAGUCCUUGGUCUCUGCCCUCGACGUCCUCAACACCCCGGUCUCUUUCGAUGAACUCUUCUCUAUGUGAGUAACUUCGAUCAAUGGGUGGCCAUGUACCAAGGGUCGGGCGGCUUCAAAUCUUCCGCGAACGCUGCGACCCACGGCCGUGGCGGCUCCUCCUAUCGCUACCGUGGCCCUCCUCGCUCCAAGGGCAGGCCCGGCGGCAGCGGUGGCAGCAACACCAGCGGCUCCAACUCCCGUGACGGGCGCCCCUCCUCCAACAACACUAGGGGUCGCCGCAGCGGGAACAGCAAGUCUCGCCCGGAUGCCAUGCGUUGCCAGAUCUGUGGUAAACUCGGGCACUCGGCUAAAGACUGCUGGUACCGUUUUGAAGAAGAUGAGGCUUCGUCAGAAGAUGAGGAAAAGGUUGCUGCCGCUGCUGAUGGUGCCUACGGCGUCGACACAAACUGGUACCUCGACAGCGGCGCCACCAACCAUCUCACGGGUGAACUUGAGAAAGUAACCCUCCGUGAGAAGUACCCCGGCAAGGACCAAAUUCGCACCGUGAGUGGGGCAGGUAUGAGGAUCCGUCAUAUUGGUCAUUCAGUUAUACAUACCCCUCAUCGCAAAAUCCACCUUAGAAAAAAUUUGCAUGUCCCUAGUGCCAACAAAAAUCUCCUUUCUGUCCAUCGAAUAGCACUUGACAAUCAUGUCUUCAUUGAGUUUCAUCCUUUUUUCUUCUUGAUUAAGGAUUAGGCCACGAGGAAAAUCCUAUAUCGAGGUAGAUGUGUUCGAGGGCUCUACCCAUUGCUUCCGGAGUUCAGCAGAUUCAAUAAACAAGCCCAUGGUGUUGUCAAGCUUUCCUCCACAUGAUGGCACAAUCGUCUAGGACAUGCUUCUUUUUCCUUAGUAGAACGUUUGCUUAGAAAGAAUAAGCUCCCGUUUGUUGGUGAGCGUUGUGUUGAAACCAUUUGUAAUUCCUGCCAAAGAGCAAAAAGUCAUCAAUUACCGUAUCCUAUUUCUACUAGUGUUUCUACUCAGCCUUUACAAUUAAUUUUCUCGGAUGUUUGGGGUCCUGCCCCUAGUUCGGUUGGUAGACACACAUAUUACGUAAGCUUUAUUGAUGACUAUAGCAAAUUCUCGUGGAUCUAUCUUCUCAAGAAACGAUCCGAGGUUUUCCAAGUGUUUCAAAACUUUCAAGCACUCGUUGAAAGAAAGUUCAACAGCAAGAUCAUUGUUGUACAGUCAGACUGGGGAGGGGAAUACGAAAAACUAAAUUCCUUCUUCCAAACACUUGGUAUUUCUCACCAUGUGUCUUGUCCACAUGCUCACCAGCAAAACGGCCCGGCUGAGCGCAAGCAUCGCCACAUUGUUGAAGUGGGUCUAGCUCUCCUAGCCGGUGCCUCUAUGCCUCUUAAGUUCUGGGAUGAGGCUUUUCUCACUGCUGUACACAUCAUCAACAUGCUUCCUAGUCGAGUCAUUCACAAUGAAACUCCUAUAGAAAGACUCCUUCACACCAAACCUGAUUACAAGUCUCUUCGAGUUUUUGGUUGCGCCUGUUGGCCUAAUCUUCGCCCUUAUAACAAUCGCAAACUCAUGUUCCGCUCGAAACAGUGUGUCUUUCUUGGGUAUAGUGCUCAACACAAGGGCGUAAAAUGUCUUGAUGUGUCUACUGGACGGAUCUAUAUUUCUCGUGAUGUAGUCUUUGAUGAGACGAAGUUCCCCUUUGCCGACCUUCACCCCAACGCCGGUGCUCUUCUUCGCAAAGAGAUUCUCCUUUUACCGUCACAUCUAGUCGGGUCUGAUCAAGGGGGCAAUAACUAUAAUGAUUCAAUAUUGACUGACCCUCCUAAUACCUUGUGUGAGCCUUGUGAUGAUGCAGGAGACUAUACAGAAAAAAACAGAAGUCAAAACAAUGUGGAAAUACCCAAUACAGAGCCAUAUUUUAUGUGCUCCAACCAGGGGAACAAAUCCCCCUCGGGAUAUGCGUCGCCAGAUACGUCAGGCAGAUCGUCUCCGGGAUCCGGGCAGCCAGACGCGCCAGACUGGCCAGGUGGAUCUGCACCAGAAUCCGCGUCAACGGCCUCGCCAGGCGCAGUCGGACGGGGGCCAGCGCGCGACUUCUCCGAGCCAACCACGCGGCGUCCCGCGGCUGGGGAGGAGGCCUCUCCCGCUCCAUGCCAAUCAGACGCUGACACACGGCGCCCUGCGGCUGGGUCCUGGUUGCCAACUCAGCCGCUCUGCUACAAAAGGCGCGACCUGCGCCGCCCGACAGGUGCGGCUCCGACAGGCGCGAGAUCACGCACUGAUGGCCCGCUCUUGCCAUCAUGCGCCCAUGAUGAGCUCCGCGGGGCGGGAUCUUCUGUGACCGCUGCAAUGCAUGCGUCUUCACCACCUGCUGCAGAAGAUCCAGCUCGCACAGAUCCCGCUGUUGCUGCGGUUUCAGGAUCUGCUGCGGGAUCGUCUAUGGCACAAACUGUUGCUGCAUCAUCUCCGCGCCAUACACGUUUGCAAAAAGGAGUAAUACAGCCUAUUGAUUAUAAACAUGUGACUAAAUAUGGCAUGGUGUGUUCCACAGGUGAGCCGCACACAUUUGAAGCAGCACUAAAAGAUGAAAAGUGGAAGAAGGCUAUGAAUGAAGAAUUUAUAGCAUUGCAGAAAAAUAAAACGUGGCAUUUGGUUCCUCCAAGACAAGGUAAAAAUCUUAUUGACUGCAAGUGGGUAUUCAGAAUUAAGAGAAAAUCUGAUGAAACAAUUGAUCGUUACAAAGCUAGACUCGUUGCAAAGGGCUUUAAACAACGAUAUGGCAUAGACUAUGAGGACACAUUUAGUCCUGUUGUGAAAGCUGCCACUAUUCGUCUUGUUUUGUCCAUUGCUGUUUCCAAGGGCUAGAGUCUGAGACAGCUAGAUGUGCAGAACGCGUUCCUCCAUGGGGUUCUGGAAGAGGAAGUGUACAUGAAGCAACCUCCUGAGUUUUUGAGAACAAAAAUAAACCUUCCUAUGUGUGCAAACUUGACAAGUCACUGUAUGGGUUGAAACAAGCUCCAAGGGCAUGGUAUUCACGCCUCAGUCACAAAAUGCAAACACUUGGCUUUGCUCCUUCUAAGUCUGACACCUCACUAUUUAUUUACAACAAGUACAAUACAUACAUAUUUGUACUCAUAUAUGUUGAUGAUAUUAUUGUCACGAGUUCAUCAGAUGAGGCAAUUACAGGACUGUUAAAGGAUCUCAGCACUGAGUUUGCUCUUAAGGAUCUUGGAGACUUGCACUAUUUCCUAGGGAUUGAAGUAAAGAGACAUGAUGAUGGACUUCAUCUCUCCCAAGAAAAGUAUGCAGCAGAUCUGGUAAAGAAAGCUGGUCUACAAGGUUGUAAACCCUCACCCACUCCUUUGUCAAGUUCAGAAAAAUUGUCCCUUACAGAAGGGCAGCCUCUAAGUCAAGAUGAUAGUACAAGGUACAUAAACCUAGUAGGUGCACUUCAAUAUUUAACACUUACUAGGCCUGAUAUUUCUUUUGCUGUCAACAAAGUUUGCCAAUUCCUUCAUGCACCCACCACAGUUCAUUUGACUGCUGCAAAAAGGAUUGUUAGAUAUGUCAAGAACACUCUUAAUGUUGGUCUCAAUUUCAGUAAGUCACCAUCUACACUUGUGAGUGCCUUUUCAGACUCUGAUUGGGCAGGCUGCCUGGAUGAUAGGCGGUCUACUGGUGGUUUUGCAGUCUUUUUUGGUCCCAACUUAAUAUCGUGGUGUGCAAGAAAGCAAGCUACAGUCUCUAGAUCCAGUACAGAGGCAGAAUACAAGGCACUGGCAAAUGCAACAGCAGAGAUUAUCUGGCUACAAUCCAUUUUGAGGGAACUUGGUGUUAGAGGCACUCAACCUCCAUGUUUAUGGUGUGACAAUCUAGGUGCUACCUAUCUCUCUGCUAAUCCAGUUUUUCAUGCCAGGACAAAGCACAUUGAGAUAGACUUUCACUUUGUGAGAGAAAGGGUUGCCAAUAAGCAACUUGAGAUUCGUUUUGUGCACUCCAGAGAUCAAAUUGCAGAUGGGUUCACAAAACCUUUGCCUACUAGAAGCUUUGAAGAUUUCAAACAUAAUCUCAACUUGAUGAAGUUGUGAUUAAGGGAGGGUGUCAAACAACCUGUCAACCUGUCACGUUGUAUCUCCCGCGCCAGGAGUCCAUCAGGAGAUAUAAGCCGCACCAGGAGUCCACCAGGAGAUAGGCUAGGUAGUUAGUUGAUAUCUAUCUAUUGUAACCUACUCUAUCCCUUCUUCUCAAAGUCUCCUGUACGAUCUCAUGUAUGCGCUACAGAGUUGUUGCGCCCCUGCCUAUAACACGUACCACGCCCCCUCGCACCGAGGACAAGGCGUUUCCGCAUAUCGCACAAAUUUAUCUUCAAAAGUAAACUAGAUCUAUUUGAUUAAUAAUGCUUAACAAAUGCAGUAUGGAGAAUUAGAGGGAGGAAAUGACAUAAUCCAGUUUGUACCUGCUUAAAAGAAUAAGAAAUGUGCCUUUUCUUCUUCUUUUUUUGUGGGAGCAUUCAUGGCGAUUUUAUUGAUUAUAGAGUAAAUUUACACUGUUCGAUAGUAUCCCGCGAAGAAAAUUAGGAGGGUCCUCUUGCAUCAUAAUCAAUGAGGUACCCUCCACGUUACGAGCAAGGGCGUGAGCCACUAUUGUUUUCCCUAGGAGAAUGAACAAACGGAAUAGAAGCUAUGACAUAGAUGCGCCAUUUCUUAAUUGCACUUCACUAGAGAGAAAAUCUAUCUCGCCAUUCAACAGUGUCCUUAUUUUUUGAGAUAGAACAGUGUCCUUAUUUGAAUUAGUGAAAAACUAAUUAUCACCUAAAAUAAUGAAAACUAGUGCUAUGACUUGCAUUUAUCACCUAAAAUAAUUGAAAUUACAUAUGCUUUCUAGCAAGUCCUGGAAUGGUGUGCAUUACAGUAUUCCACCUUUGAAAUUUCUUUAGUGUCUUAAUAAAGUCUUGAUUUUCAUUUCUGCAGAGGAGCUGAAACGCUUUCUAGCUAGAAUCGUUCUACGUGUAUGGAGGGUUGUUCUGCUAGUACUUGCAGCAAGUUAUACAUCAAGUUUUGCAUCAAUGCUUACAGUACAACAGCUUUCACCAACAGUGACUGAUGUUCAUGAACUCCAGAAGAAUGGGCAAUAUGUAGGGUUCCACCAAGGUUCCUAUAUAGAGGGUCUACUGCUGGAUAUUGGUUUUCAUACAUCAAAAAUCAGGCCCUAUGCUACACCUGACGAUUUCUAUAGUGCUCUUUCUAAUGGAAGCAUUGCUGCGCUUGUACAUGAAGUCCCAUACAUCAAAUUUUUUCUCGCAAAAUACAGCAAAGGUUACACAAUGGUAGCGCCUAUUUACAAGAGUGUAGGAUUUGCAUUUGUAAGUUUAACUACACUCACUAUUCUCUUGAAAAGAUAGCUACCGAGGCAUGCAAAUGCUAUGCUUAUGUGUUCCCCUUGAUUCCAGUACCAUAUGUCACCACAAGAUUGCAUUAUAAAAAUUCAAACAUAAUAUACAUACAUGUUCUGAAAAUCAAUCAUAAAUGGAUAUUAGGGCUAUCUAAUAGCGUCCCGGUGGAAUGAUGCAAUUUUAGGACAGACACGGAAAGUAAUAGCAAAAUGAACACAAUCAUUUUUUCUAUAAAUUUAACUACCAUACACGACAAUAUAUAUGCAAGAGGCUUGGAGAUACCAUCACAUAACAACAUAGAUCCAUACAUUUACUCUCGAAAACUUUAACAUGAGCUGAUAUUUGCAGUUGAUCACACUUAGGCUCUAUUUGGAAUUGCAUUGGAUUAUGAUAAAUAGUCUCUAUCGGUUGGUUUACUUUUAGAUAUCUAGGUGUUUGGCUAUCUUUUUUUUUCUAAAUCAAAUAGUAUAUUUGCAUUUGAGAACAUAUGAGAUCCCAUUUGGGAGGUCAGCAUUGAUAAUACUUCAUCUGACUGUAAUUUGAUUUACCAAACAGAUCAAUAGACUUUUGACAACCUUUUUACAACAACUUUAUAAGUAAGUACUCCCUCUAUAAACUAUUAUAAGAGCGGUUAGAUCACUAAAAUAGUGAUCUAAACACUCUUACAUUAGUUUACGGAGGGAGUACAUCAUAACGUCUGCACAAAAAUCAGAAACUAAGCCUGAAAGUGUUUACUGGAUUAUUAUUUUUUGCUAUUUAAGCAACUUUUGGCAUGAUUCUCUGAAGGGUAUGGUACUACUAAGUAAUAAAACCAUCAUACCAUGUGCUAUUAUAUCAAGGGGGGGGAUCUGUUUUUCAGGCUUUUAUAGAGUCAGAUAUUGUCAGUGGAAUAGCAUGUGCAGCUUAUAACAAUGAUCUUUUUGCUGAUUAGGCGCUUCCCAGGAAUUCUCCGCUAGCUCCUGAAAUGUCGAGGGCAAUAGUCAACAUAACAGAAGGAGAUACUAUCAUUCAAUUUGAAAAGAAAUGGAUAGGUCAAAAUAGCCAUGAAAAUGAUGGCACACUUGACGGUUCAGACGCCAUAACUUUUGAAAGUUUUGGGGGAUUAUUCGCUCUAACUGGAAUUGUGACAACCUAUUGCCUUUUGGUAGACAUGGUGAUGAGCUGCUACAAAAAAUGUCGACAAAAUGCAGGGAACAUAGGAGAGGUGGCCAAAAUGAAUGUGGGCAUGGGCAAAAAGAAGAGGAAACGGGAGAACAAAGGAUAUGACCAAAGGGAGUAUGGACAUGGGCAAAGGAAAAAUAGGAAAUGGAAGAGCAAAGAGAUCAAAAGAGCAAUGGAAACGGGAACUGAAUUGAUAGGGAGCCAAACAACACUGUCAGAAAUCGUCACCAGCUACCCAUGUCAGUGCACAAAUUAGUCACGGGGAGUCGUUAUUAGCUCAAGUUAGUUCCAAACUGAGCAAAGUUCACCUUUCAGGCUCAAAGAUGAACAAAUAAUUAACCGCGAGGGAAGCCGGCUAGGCUGAACUUGGGUAUGUGGAAUUUGCUAUGCAUGCAGAAUCAAGUAAAUUUUCAGUGUAGUUAUGCUUCGGUUCACCUUUCAGGCAUCGUUCAGCCGCAGCUGAAAAGAUCUAACCGGUCACGUUAUAUCAUGUACUUUUCCUGGAAAAAUCAAAGAAAGUUCACUACGAACCAACUAGGCUAUAUUCCUCUUCAGUAAGAACAUUUCGUUAAAAAUAUUUUACAUCUGAUCUAACCCUACGCACUUUUGUAACGAUCUAGAAAAGUUUGCGUUGGGUUGGCAUUCUAACAAACACCCUAGCUGCAGUAACCCAACAGUGCAUGGAAUUCAUAAACUGUCUUCCCUGCACCAACAUUCACGGGCUCGUACAGACAGUAGGUGAUCAAAUUCGAACCAACUCCCAGGGGGAGAUAAGUCAUGGACUUUUGCAGAUAAAUAAAAUGAUGAUUGAUUCAUCGUCACCUUCGAAGAAGAGAAGUCGGGCCAUGGGGGGUCUCAGAAAUCUCAUAAAUUCACACAUUGCAAUCGAGGAACCUUGAUACAUACUACUGUUUAUGUAUCUGUAGAAAGCCCUGUUCUUUUUCCAGUAGCAUGGCAUGGAUCAGAGUUUCCAUUAACAGCGUAAGGAUACAUACACCACAUCCCUCCCCUCCCCUCAUUUUAGUGUACAUGGCAGGGAGGAAGUAACUAAAAGGUCCUAGAGUAUUUCUUGAUCUCGUACAGGAUGGAGGAUAUGGAGACCAGGUCCUUGUUGAGCGCGGAGCCGCAGUUGACCCUCUUGACGCAUUCGGUCAGCCUCGUGUAGUACAGGAGCAGCUGUGUGAGGGCCGCCUUCAGGAUCUCCAUCCCGCACAGGAAGUUGCUGAAG
rnacentral:lncRNA from 1 species